rnacentral:rRNA from 1 species
AGUCACUGACAUUAGAUACCCCCGUAGUCCAGGGUGUAAACGCUGCAGACUUGGUGUUGGAAGCCCUUUGGGGGCAUUCAGUGCCGGAGAGAAGUUGUUAAGUCUGCUACUUGGGGAGUACGUCCGCAAGGAUGAAACUUAAAGGAAUUGGCGGGGGAGCACCGCAACGGGAGGAGCGUGCGGUUUAAUUGGAUUCAACACCGUAAAACUCACCAGGGAAGACUGUUACAUGAAGGCCGAGAUGAAGACUCUGCUAGAUUUUCAG